rnacentral:rRNA from 1 species
AGACGCGAGCGGUCCGCCACUCACGACAUCGUGAGAAGUCCACUGAACCUUAUCAUUUAGAGGAAGAAGUCGUAACAAGGUUUCCGUAGGUGAACCCGCGGAAGGAUUAUUG